rnacentral:tRNA from 1 species
GUAGCUCAGUGACAGAGCAUGUGCUUGGCAAGCACGAGGUUCUGGGUUCAACCUCCUGC